rnacentral:rRNA from 1 species
AACGAACGCUGGCGGCGCGCCUAAUACAUGCAAGUCGAGCGAGAAGGUGUAGCAAUACACUUGUAAAGCGGCGAACGGGUGAGGAAUACAUGGGUAACCUACCCUCGAGUGGGGAAUAACUAGCCGAAAGGUUAGCUAAUACCGCAUACGAUUCCAGGACUUCGGUCCUGGAAGGAAAGCACUACCGUGGGUAGUGCGCUCCUGGAUGGGCUCAUGUCCUAUCAGCUUGNGGUGAGGUAAAGGCUCACCAAGGCUUCGACGGGUAGCUGGUCUGAGAGGACGAUCAGCCACACUGGCACUGCGACACGGGCCAGACUCCUACGGGAGGCAGCAGUAAGGAAUAUUGCGCAAUGGGCGAAAGCCUGACGCAGCGACGCCGCGUGGGGGAGUGAAGGUCUUCGGAUUG